rnacentral:rRNA from 1 species
GACGAACGCUGGCGGCGUGCCUAAUACAUGCAAGUCGAACGCUGAAGGUGGAGCUUGCUCUUCUGGUUGAGUUGCGAACGGGUGAGUAACGCGUAGGUAACCUGCCUGGUAGCGUGGGAUAACUAUUGGAAACUAUAGCUAAUACCGCAUAAGAGCAGAUGUUGCAUGACAUUUACUUAAAAGUUGCAAUUGCAUCACUACCAGAUGGACCUGCGUUGUAUUAGCUAGUUGGUGGGGUAACCGCUUACCAAGGCGGCGAUCCAGAGCAGACCGGAGAGGGUGAUCGGCCAGACUGAGACGGUGACACGGCACAGAGGCCUACGGGAAGCAGCAGUACGGAAACGUGAGCAAUGGGCGGAAGUCUGUGCGAGAUAGGCGGAGUGAGUGAAGAAGGUUGUCGGGUCGUAGAGCUCUGUUGUCGGGGAAGAACGAGCGUGAGAGUGGAAAGAUCACACUGUGACGGUAUCUUACCAGAAAGGAACGGCUAACUACGUG